UACGUAGGGUCCGAGCGUUGUCCGGAGUUACUGGGCGUAAAGGGCGCGCAGGCGGCGGUGCUGGCCCGGCGUGAAAGCCCCCGGCUCAACCGGGGAGGGUCGUCGGGGACCGCACCGCUUGAGGGCGGUAGGGGCCGGUGGAAUGCCUGGUGUAGUGGUGAAAUGCGUAGAGAUCGGGCAGAACACCUGGGGCGAAGGCGGCCGGCUGGGCCGUCCCUGACGCUGAGGCGCGAAGGCGUGGGGAGCGAACGGG
rnacentral:rRNA from 1 species